GAGUUUGAUCGUGGCUCAGAAUCAACGCUGGCGGCAGGCCUAACACAUGCAAGUCGAGCGGCCGUAGCAAUACGGCAGCGGCAGACGGGAGAGUAACACGUGGGAACGUACCCUUUGGUUCGGAACAACACAGGGAAACUUGUGCUAAUACCGGAUAAGUCCGCAAGGAGAAAGAUUUAUCGCCGAAGGAUCGGCCCGCGUCUGAUUAGCUUGUUGGUGAGGUAAUGGCUCACCAAGGCGACGAUCAGUAGCUGGUCUGAGAGGAUGAUCAGCCUCACUGGGACUGAGACACGGCCCAGACUCCUACGGGAGGCAGCAGUGGGGAAUAUUGGACAAUGGGCGCAAGCCUGAUCCAGCCAUGCCGCGUGGAUGAUGAAGGCCCUAGGGUUGUAAAGUCCUUUCGGCGGGGAAGAUAAUGACGGUACCCGCAGAAGAAGCCCCGGCUAACUUCGUGCCAGCCGCCGCUGUAAG
rnacentral:rRNA from 1 species